rnacentral:rRNA from 1 species
UACGAAGGGGGGCUAGCGUUGCUCGGAAUCACUGGGCGUAAAGCGCACGUAGGCGGCUUCUUAAGUCAGGGGUGAAAUCCUGGAGCUCAACUCCAGAACUGCCUUUGAUACUGAGGAGCUUGAGUCCGGAAGAGGUGAGUGGAACUGCGAGUGUAGAGGUGAAAUUCGUAGAUAUUCGCAAGAACACCAGUGGCGAAGGCGGCUCACUGGUCCGGUACUGACGCUGAGGUGCGAAAGCGUGGGGAGCAAACAGG